AUUGAACGCUGGCGGCAUGCCUUACACAUGCAAGUCGAACGGCAGCAUGGAAGAGCUUGCUCUUCUGAUGGCGAGUGGCGAACGGGUGAGUAAAGCAUCGGAACGUACCGUGUAGUGGGGGAUAACGUAGCGAAAGUUACGCUAAUACCGCAUACGCACUGAGGUGGAAAGCAGGGAAUCGCAAGACCUUGCGCUAUACGAGCGGCCGAUGUCAGAUUAGCUAGUUGGUAGGGUAAAGGCCUACCAAGGCGACGAUCUGUAGCGGGUCUGAGAGGAUGAUCCGCCACACUGGGACUGAGACACGGCCCAGACUCCUACGGGAGGCAGCAGUUGGGAAUUUUGGACAAUGGGGGAAACCCUGAUCCAGCCAUGCCGCGUGAGUGAAGAAGGCCUUCGGGUUGUAAAGCUCUUUCGGCUGGGAAGAAAUCGCACAGGCUAAUACUCUGUGUGGAUGACGGUACCAGCACAAGAAGCACCGGCUAACUACGUGCCAGCCGCCGCAGUAACAC
rnacentral:rRNA from 1 species